GACGAACGCUGGCGGCGCGCUUAACACAUGCAAGUCGAGCGAGAACCAGGGCUUCGGCUCUGGGGACGGCGGCGAACGGGUGAGUAACACGUGAGUAAUCUGCCCUCGACACUGGGAUAGCCCGGGGAAACCCGGAUUAAUACCGGAUAGCCUUUCGAGCUCUCGGGCUCGUCAGAAAAGGAUGGCUUCGGCUUUCGGUUGAGGAUGAGCUUGCGGCGGAUUAGCUUGUUGGUGAGGUAACGGCUCACCAAGGCGACAAUCCGUAGCUGGUCUGAGAGGACGAUCAGCCACACUGGGACUGAGACACGGCCCACGACUCCUACGGGAGGCAGCAGUGGGGAAUCUUGCGCAAUGAGCGAAAGCUUGACGCAGCGACGCCGCGUGAGGGAAGAAGGCCU
rnacentral:rRNA from 1 species